rnacentral:rRNA from 1 species
UUAGAGUUUGAUCCUGGCUCAGGAUGAACGCUAGCGGCAGGCCUAACACAUGCAAGUCGAGGGGUAACAGGGAAGCUUGCUUCCGCUGACGACCGGCGCACGGGUGCGUAACGCGUAUACAACUUACCCUCAACUGGAGGAUAGCCUGGAGAAAUUCGGAUUAAUACUCCAUAGUAUCUCCACCUCACAUGUGGAGGAGAUUAAAGUUUCGGCGGUUGAGGAUAGGUAUGCGUCCUAUUAGCUUGUUGGUGAGGUAACGGCUCACCAAGGCUGCGAUAGGUAGGGGGCCUGAGAGGGUAAUCCCCCACACUGGUACUGAGACACGGACCAGACUCCUACGGGAGGCAGCAGUGAGGAAUAUUGGACAAUGGGCGAAAGCCUGAUCCAGCCAUGCCGCGUGCAGGAUGACGGCCCUACGGGUUGUAAACUGCUUUUAUAUGGGAAUAAACCCCCCUACGUGUAGGGGGCUGAAGGUACCAUACGAAUAAGGAUCGGCUAACUCCGUGCCAGCAGCCGCGGUAAUACGGAGGAUCCAAGCGUUAUCCGGAUUUAUUGGGUUUAAAGGGUCCGCAGCGGGCUUUUAAGUCAGUGGUGAAAUCCUGCAGCUUAACUGUAGAACUGCCAUUGAUACUGGAAGUCUUGAGUAUAGUUGAGUGGGCGGAAUGUGUCAUGUAGCGGUGAAAUGCAUAGAUAUGACACAGACACCAAUUGCGUAGCAGCUCACUAAGCUAAUACUGACGCUCAGGACGAAAGCGUGGGGAGCGAACAGGAUUAGAUACCCUGGUAGU